GUCAGAGUGGUAUAGUGAUUUGAGUGUUGGACUAUGACUCUACACACCAGGGUUCAAAUCCCUGCUCAGCCA
rnacentral:tRNA from 1 species